AUUGAACGCUGGCGGCUUGCCUUACACAUGCAAGUCGAACGGCAGCACGGGUGCUUGCACCUGGUGGCGAGUGGCGAACGGGUGAGUAAUACAUCGGAACGUACCUUAUCGUGGGGGAUAACGCAGCGAAAGCUGUGCUAAUACCGCAUACGCCCUGAGGGGGAAAGCGGGGGAUCGCAAGACCUCGCGCGAUUAGAGCGGCCGAUGCCUGAUUAGCUUGUUGGUGGGGUAAAAGCCCACCAAGGCGACGAUCAGUAGCUGGUCUGAGAGGAGGAUCAGCCACACUGGGACUGAGACACGGCCCAGACUCCUACGGGAGGCAGCAGUGGGUAAUUUUGGACAAUGGGGGCAACCCUGAUCCAGCAAUGCCGCGUGAGUGAAGAAGGCCUUCGGGUUGUAACGCUCUUUUGUCAGGGAAGAAACACCGGCUCUAACACAGUCCGGGAAUGACGGUACCUGAAGAAUAAGCACCGGCUAACUACGUGCCAGCCGCCGCCGUAA
rnacentral:rRNA from 1 species